rnacentral:lncRNA from 1 species
CUCGAACACAUGUGCCAAAGAUGGAAUACCUGUCAGUGUGGGACCCUGAUUGACUGUGGUGAGCAGAACAUGUGGCCCUGGCUUCAGAGCUGGACAGUGAAAAAUCCUCUACAAUUUGGAAAGUGAUCCCUUGAGACAAUGGGUUCCAUUUUUGAGUGCUUUUUCUAUACCUCCCAGACUAAGAGAUUUGGAAAUGCCCCCAGGUACAUAGUUGUAUAUUCUUCGUUGUGGGUCCUUCUAGUUGUGGCAUGUGGGACGCUGCCUCAGCGCGGUUUGAGGAGCAGUGCCAUGUCCGCGCCCAGGAUUCGAACCAACGAAACGCUGGGACGCCUGCAGCGGAAUGCACGAGCUUAACCACUCGGCCACGGGGCCAGCCCCAAGGCAGCUUUUAAAUAAAGAAGUUAAAUCAUCUGAAAGAUGAACUCCAUCAAGCCAUGAUAGUAAACACCAUCUCACUUCAAUUCAGACACCUGUUGUCCGAAUACCAGGCUUUGAUCCUCCACUCUGAACAUCUAGAACUGAGAAGCGUCCUGAACAAAACUUACUACUCGUG